rnacentral:rRNA from 1 species
GAUUAAGUUAUUAAGGGCGCACGGUGGAUGCCUUGGCACUAGAAGCCGACGAAGGACGUUACUAACGACGAUAUGCUUUGGGGAGCUGUAAGUAAGCUUUGAUCCAAAGAUUUCCGAAUGGGGAAACCCAGCACGAGUUAUGUCGUGUUAUCUGCAUGUGAAUACAUAGCAUGCAAGAAGGCAGACCCGGAGAACUGAAACAUCUUAGUACCCGGAGGAAGAGAAAGAAAAAUCGAUUCCCUGAGUAGCGGCGAGCGAAACGGGAAGAGCCCAAACCAAUAAGCUUGCUUAUUGGGGUUGUAGGACACUCUGUACGGAGUUACAAAAGAAUUUGUUAGACGAAUAACCUGGAAAGGUUAAUCAGAGAAGGUAAUAAUCCUGUAGUCGAAAA